CCUUAUCAAACUCCGAAUACUGACGAGUGUAACACGGGAGACAGGCUGUGGGGGAUAAGCUCCAUGGCCGAGAGGGAAAGAGCCCAGAUCGUCGAUUAAGGCCCCUAAAUCAUUGCUAAGUGGAAUAAAGGAAGUGGAUUCACACAGACAAUAGGGAUGUUGGCUUAGAAGCAGCCAUCAUUUAAACAGUGCGUAAUAGCUGACCUAUCGAGUGGAUCUGCGCCGAAGAUGAACGGGACUAAGCAAUGUGCCGAAAUCACGAACUUUGAAAAAAGUGGUAGAAGAGCGUUCCAACAGGGCUGAAGCCAAAGAGGCAAUCAAUGGUGGACCGGUUGGAAGUGAGAAUCCAGACAUGAGUAACGAGAAACACGGUGAGAAUCCGUGUCGCCGCAAGGAUUAGGUUUCCCGGGGAAGGUUCGUCCGCCCGGGGUUAGUCGAAAGCUAAGGUGAGGCCGUAAGGAGUAAUCGAUGCACGACUGGUUAAUAUUCCAGUACAACCUUAUAACGCUAUUACUUUCGGAGUGACGGAGAAGGCUAACCUGGCAUAGUGUUGAAUGUCUAUGUCUAAGCAUCAAGGCCGAUCAGUAGGCAAAUCCGCUGGUCAUCAAGGCUGAGGUGUGAUGGGACCUUUUAGCUACGGCUAGAAGUGAUCAGGUGAUGUCAUGCUUCCAGGAAAAGCUUCGUUAGGAGGAAAUAGGGUUUUCGUACCGCAAACCGACACAGGUAUCCGAGAUGAGUAUUCUAAGGCGCGUGAGUUAAGUCUCCAUAAGGAACUCUGCAAAUUUGCCUCGUAUCUUUGGUAGAAGAGGUGCCGGUAUCCAUUCCGGUUGCAAUAAAGAGGCCCUACCGACUGUUUAGCAAAAACACAGCUCUCUGCUAAGUCGCAAGACGAUGUAUAGGGAGUGACACGUGACCAAUGCGGAAAGGUGAACGCUGGAGGUGUAUGCUUCUGGUCUAAGCCCCCGUGAAUGUCGGCCGUAACUAUAACGGUCCUAAGGUAGCGAAAUUCCUUGUCAGGUAAGUUCUGACCUGCACGAAUCGUGUAACGAGUGGGGCGCUGUCUCCUGGAGAUGCUCAGUGAAAUUGUAGUCGCGGUAAAGAUGCCGCGUUCCCGCAGCAGGACGGAAAGACCCUAUGGACCUUUACUGUAACCUGGUAUUGUUGUUUGAUUUU
rnacentral:rRNA from 1 species